rnacentral:lncRNA from 1 species
GCCGAAAAGUAAAGAUAGAUAAGUACUUCUUUAUCUUGUUAAUUAUUCUCAAUCUAAUGAACAACUUCCUCCUUGCAAGUUGAUAGCAGUCUGGCCACUAUUUUAAAUUUGUAGGCCUAGAGAAAAGCCAAACUACCUACAUAUACUUUCACAUUUUUGACCCACACUUCAAGUUCUUCAACUGACAUUCUGAAGCUAAAGAAGGUCAUUCAGCAUGUCACUGGCUUUGACCUCGAUGGUUUGGCU